GGUUUUCGCGGCGGCCGGAGAUGAUCGACGGUUCGAUGAAGCGAAGAGUUUACGGCGAAGAUCAGACGAAUCGGAUCGGGUAGUGGUGGAGUAGAGAUCGGACUCGUCGAACUCGAAUUCUGAAUCGUCAGUGAUGGUUUUGUGAGAUCGAUCUGAUGUUGGAAGGUAGCGAUGACUCGGCCGUUGGUAAUAGCUCUUUCUCGUCGCCGUCGUCGCCAUUGAUGGGUUUGGUUUAGUAUGAGAGAAGAGUCUCUCUCUCUUUGCUUUUUAUAAAUGCGUUUUUGUUAACUUACAGUUUGGGUUGGGUUAAAUGACGUAAAUGCCCUUUUGGUUUUGUGGUGGAAGGAAUAUUUACAUGCGUCAAUGUAUAAUGGAUUUAAUGGUUUAUGACUUCUGUGGCAUAUUCUCGAAAUAUAAUUAUUAAUUUAAGCAAAA
rnacentral:lncRNA from 1 species